rnacentral:lncRNA from 1 species
UGGUCUUGAUCUCCUGACCUUGUGAUCUACCCACCUCAGCCUCCCAGAGUGCGGGGAGUGUAGGAGUGCGCCACCGUGCCCAGGUGGUGGUUUUUUUUUUUUUUUUUCUGUCGUUCCCCAGGUUGGAGGGGCAGGAAAUGCUUUGAGGUCAAGGUGGCUGCAGGAAAAAGGAUGACAUUGAAGAGAUGAGCCCAUCAUUGGCAGAGCCUGGAAAUGAAGAGGGUGUGGCUAGAGGAACCCCCUCUCCUGCAGACUGGACUCACCACCAGCUCCAGUGACAGUGGGCUCAGAGGAGAUCCUCUAAGCCUGCUCAGUACAGGACACAGGCAAACAAGGAACCUGGAGAGGGCAGCCUCUAGCCUCCCUGGCCUGGCAGCUGUAGGACCUACCUCUACAAAGCUAAAAAACAGAAUCUCGCUCUGUUGCCUGGGCUGGAGUGCAGUGGCACUGUAUCCGGAAUUGGGGGGUUCUUGGUCUCACUGACUUCAAGAAUGAAGCCAUGGACCCUUGCGGUAAGUGUUCCAGCUCUUAAGGUGGCGCGUCUGGAGUUUGUUUCUUCUGAUGUUCAGGUGUGUUCAGCGUUUCUUCCUUCUGGUGGGUUCAUGGUUUCACUGGCUCAGGAGUGAAGCUGCAGACCUUCGCAGUGAGUGUUACAGCUCAUAAAAGCAGUGGGGACCCAAAGAGUGAGCAGUACAAGAUUUAUUGCAAAGAGCAAAAGAACAAAGCUUCCACAGUGUGGAAGGGGACCCAAGUGGGUUGCCACUGCUGGCUCGGGCAGCCUGCUUUUAUUCUCUUAUCUGGCCCCACCCACAUCCUGCUGAUUGGUAGAGCCCACUGGUCUGUUUUGACAGGGCGCUGAUUGGUGCGUUUACAAUUCCUGAGCUAGACACAAAGGUUCUCCACAUCCCCACCAGAUUAACUAGAUACAGAGUGUCAACACAAAGGUUCUCCAAGGCCCCACCACAGUAGCUAGAUACAGAGUGUCGAUUGGUGCAUUCACAAACCCUGAGCUAGACACAGGGUGCUGAUUGGUGUGUUUACAAACCUUGAGCUAGAUACAGAGUGCCGAUUGGUGUAUUUACAAUCCCUGGUUUCACCAUGUUGGUCAGGCGGGCCUGGAACUCGUAAUGUCAGAUGAUCCACCUGCCUCGGCCUCCUAAAGUGCUGGGAUUACAGGCAUGAGCGACCACGCCAUCUUUUUUUUUUUUUUUUAACAAAACACAGAUGUAGAAUUAGAGCCUUCAGGGGUGGGUGCAGUGGCGCUCACACCUUUAAUCCCAUCACUUUGUGAAGCCAAGGCAGGAGGAUCCCUUGAGUCUCGGUGUUUGAGACCAGCCUGGACAAUAGAAUGAGACCCUGCCUCUACGAAAAAAAAAUUAUUUUUGUUUUGAGAUGGAGUCUUGCUCUGUUGCCCAGGCUGGAGUGCAGUGGCGCAAUCUCGGCUUAUUUGCAGCCUCUGCCUCCUUGGCUCAAGUGAUUCUUCUGCGUCAGCCUCUAGAGUAGCUGGGACUACAGACGUGCACCACCAUGCUCGGCUAAUUUUUGUAUUUUUUUGUAGAGAUGGGGGUUCCACCAUGUUGGCCCGGCUGGUCUCGAACUGCUGACCUCAAGUGACCUGCCUGUCUCGGCCUCACAAAUGGCUGGGAUUACAGGCACGAGACACCGUGCCUGGCCCUGGGAACAUGUUUACAUGGACUUUGUUCACUUUUUAAAACAAACUGAGGGUAACUUACUAGAUCUGUGAACUAAAGAAAGAGAAAAAAAAGAAAGAAAACAAACAAGAACAAAGAACAAAGUGUUCUGAGGUUGCUUUUAUUCCAAGAACUCUGUGAGCUCCCACCAGCACCAUGAGGGCGCUCUCG